rnacentral:lncRNA from 1 species
AGCAGAGGUGCAGAGGCAUGAGCCAGCAUGCUAUUUUGAGAAAGUCCUAGCAGUUUAUUGGCCCUGGAUGAAAAAAGAGAGCAGUGGAGAGGAAAGCAAGGUCAAUGGUGUGGUGUCAGGUGGGUCUGGGCUGAUAGAGAGAACUUGGGUUCCACCACAAAGAAGCUAAAAAGCAAAAAGAGGGUGUGUGAUGGGGAAGCAGCCGGCCACAGCGUCCAGGAUCAUGGCUCAAUCCGGAAGACAAUCUUACUUGUUAAUUUGUGUUUUGCUGCCCUGAUAAACAAUCAGGGCUAUAUCUCACCAGAAGAUAAGAGAUCUAUCUGAUGUGGCAGGUGGUAAAAUAGCAUGGCCAAAGGAACAGUAAGACUGUCAAAUUCGGAUUUGAAAGGUGUGGAGCAGAGUGGCCCUUGCUGCACCAUGAUCUUAGGAGAGCCGGGGAAGACACACAGCAAUGGCACACACAGAUUGGUUUCAAGUCACCAAGCUGGUCCAGGCUACAAGUCUCACCAUCCAGGAAAAAUAGCAGCUGUAGCAGUUCCCCUCCUGCCUAGGCUUACCAUGGGGAAGAGCACAAUUCUAGCCCUGCUCCUGGGGUGAUGUCCAUGGUUCUGACUGUGGAGGCCUCAACCCCACUCAAGAGAAGGUGCUCCAAUCUCUGGCCAAAACUACAAUGCCUGUGCAGCCACACUGCCAGGUCACUAAGAUGGAUGGAAUCGUGGAUUGAAGAGGGAUAAACGUCAGCUCUUCUCCCACGAUUUUGUACCUCUACUCUCCCAUCAGAAUGAUCAGGCCUGAGCCAGGUGAAUGAUUGCAGAGAGG